CCUCUGAAGUCACAGAUGUCUGCAGUUAAAAAUUAAACCAUUCAUCAAGUGAACAUUGUGUCAGGCAGACACAACAAUGGGAGCUGAUGAGACAAGUGUCUAGAGAACGAACAUUCUUGUCAGUCAAAGUCUUAAGGAAGCCUGCCGCGUAAAACUGUGUUCAUUCGUGGCCCACAGCAGAUGGAGGAGGCAUGCCAUCCCUACCUGGACACUGUCAUAAGUCCUCUCCUGGCUCGCUGUCCUUCAGAACAUCACCAUUGGCUAUAAAAGCACAGUGAGAGCUUUUAACAAUUGUGUCACUACUCUUGAGAUGCCCACCCAGAGAAAAUAACUAGCAUCGACUGAGCACUUCCUAUGCGAAAGAAUUUAUAUUCUUUUCAAUCCCAAAAGACAGGAAUUUAUUUUCCCUGUCAUGGGCAAGGAAACAACGUAUGUAUCCUCAGCCAAUCACAGGAAUCAAGGCUCGGAUGGCCAAGCCUGAAGACAUCUGUCCUAGGGUUGCCCCGUAAUGGAUGAGCAUCCUGGAAGAUGGACUUUCAAUCCUAAAACAGGAUACAAUUGGCUAACCCCGGAAGGAGCGUGGAGUCAGGCGUGGAGGCCUUGGACAUCUCUUUCACGUAAGAACAAGCCACACUGCAGUUCUGGCUCCAGGACGGAGCAGGAAAAGGAGUCAAACAGGAACCUCGCACAGUGUGAAAAUAGAUAUAAAGUCUUCCCAUCAUCAGAAAAACCCGGCUUCAGUUUCCAAGCCAGCACCCAGUGCAGGUCAUAGAGGAGGAGACAGGCUUGGUUGGGGGACAAGAUUUGACACUAGAGAUUAGAGGGACACCUGGUUUUUCUUCUUUCUGUGAACCCAAGAAAUCUAAAACUAGAUGAAUGUUUUGAGUAUAUUCCCACAGGUCUACAGGGUUUAGUGUCUGAACACACACUUCUCUGGGAAGUUUCAGGGUUCACAUCCCCCUCUGGGGAUGGAAUCAGAGUCUUUGUUCAGAGCUGCCACCACCACCCCAGAAGCCCUUUGGAGGAUAAAGAAUGGACCCCCCCCCCCGCCGUUUUCUUCUGCUGCUUGUUUUUGGGGGGAGGAGGGGGACCUCACUCUUCUCCGGUUAGCUGGGAUGUGUUCCAGUAGCCCAUGUCCUAGUUGUCCACUUUGAACUUGAAUGUACUACUCCACAGAAGCUGCUGAAACUGGGUAACUUUGUGCUCUAGAAGCCCAGCCCCCACUGUGUGACACCCCCCCCCCAGGCUCUCUCUGCCGGGUGGGCUGGUGGGCUAGAGGGAGAUGCUAACAUUUCAGUGGUUCCCAUGGCAGCAUCUGAGAAGAUGCUAGCCAUGGCAGCUGAGGCAGAGUUCAGGAGACCCCAGAGAAGAACACUCUGUGAGCGGCUGGUUCCCAUGGCAACUGCAGAGUGCCCCUGAGCAGCCAGGAACCUGUAACCAAGGCUAGGUCAGCCUUGAAAAUCUAGAAUGUCUGUGGCUGCAACCUGCAGCAGAACACCUUUCCAGGGUGGUAUUUUUAGUACUGGCAUGUCCUAAAUAGCUGAGCUUCCAGUCCGUGAAAGCAGUCAUCUCUCUCAGACUGAAGCUAUUCAUCUAUCUGUAACAGAAAGAAUUAGAAUCUGUGGUGGUUUGCAAUAAGUGCCCCUCACAGGCUUGGGUAUGUGAACACCCCAUCCCCAGAUGGUGGCUCUGUUUUAGGAGGUGGGCAGCCUUGCUGGAUAAAGUACAACAGUGGGAGUGGGCUCCGAGAGUUUAUAGCCUUUCCCUCACAUCCUCCUCACACACUCCGCUUCCUAUGCAGAUGAAUUAUGAUCAGUCAGCUUCCUAGUCACGCCAUUAUACCAUCCCUUCCCUGCCAUGAGGAACCAUAAGCUAAAAUAAAACCUUUCUUUCUUAAGUUA